rnacentral:rRNA from 1 species
CUUUACUGUAGCCUGGUAUUGGGUUCGGGCUUUGACUGCGCAGGAUAGGUGGGAGACUAUGAAGCAAUCCUUGUGGGGGUUGUGGAGUCAACGGUGAGAUACCACUCUGUCAGAGCUAGAAUUCUAACCUUCACCCGUUAUCCGGGGAAGGAACCGUAUCAGGGGGGCAGUUUGACUGGGGCGGUCGCCUCCUAAAGUGUAACGGAGGCGCGCAAAGGUGUUCUCAGGCUGGUUGGAAAUCAGCCGUAGAGUGUAAAGGCAGAAGAACGCUUGACUGUGAGAGUGACAACUCGAGCAGGGUGGAAACACGGCCUUAGUGAUCCGACGGCACUGAGUGGAAGGGCCGUCGCUAAACGGAUAAAAGUUA